rnacentral:rRNA from 1 species
AUGCCUCUGCCUCUACCUGCUGCUCUCGCUGAUCGUCCUCGUCCUCGUCGCGGCCGUGCUGCUCGUCGUCUUCGUCACGAGGCUCAAGAAGCCGACCUUCUACCCGCAGUCCGUGCAGAUGGACAGGUCGUUCAGCCUCAGACCGGCGUCUUCGAACCGCAGCGGCGACAACGCGACGUCGUCGUCCUCGUGCUUGGUGGCGUCGCUGCUGUUCGCGGCGCAGAACCUGAACGGGAUCGGGAUAAGGUACAGCGGGGCGGACCUCGGCGUGGCCCUGCCCCUACGCGACCGAGUCGGUCGGCGCCAUGGACGUGCCGGUGUUCUACCAGCCGCCGCGGAGCAGCAUCGUGA